GACAGAGGUGCUAAGCGUUAGGCGGAAUCACUGGGCUUAAAGCGUGUGUAGGCGGGCGGGCAAGUACCUUGUGAAAUCCCACGGCUCAACCGUGGAACGGCUGGGUAUACUGCCUGUCUUGAGCCAGCUAGGGGCGACCGGAACAGACGGUGGAGCGGUGAAAUGCGUAGAUAUCGUCUGGAACGCCAAAGGUGAAAACAGGUCGCUGGGGCUGAGCUGACGCUGAGACACGAAAGCCAGGGGAGCGAACGGG
rnacentral:rRNA from 1 species